GUUGAACGCUGGCGGAAUGCUUUACACAUGCAAGUCGAGCGGCAGCGCGGGGGCGAACCCUGGCGGCGAGCGGCGAACGGGUGAGUAACAUAUCGGAACGUACCCAGUCGUGGGGGAUAACUAUCCGAAAGGAUAGCUAAUACCGCAUACGUCCUGAGGGAGAAAGCGGGGGAUCGCAAGACCUCGCGCGAUUGGAGCGGCCGAUAUCGGAUUAGCUAGUUGGUGGGGUAAAGGCUCACCAAGGCGACGAUCCGUAGCGGGUCUGAGAGGACGACCCGCCACACUGGAACUGAGACACGGUCCAGACUCCUACGGGAGGCAGCAGUGGGGGAAUUUUGGACAAUGGGGGCGAACCCUGAUCCAGCCAUUCCGCGUGAGUGAAGAAGGCCUCGGUUGUAA
rnacentral:rRNA from 1 species